UCAUGUUUCUGUAAAUGUUCAAUCUACUCAACUAAACCGAAAUAUAACUAAAAUUUCUAUUUUAAAACAGUUCUGAAAAACCAUGUUUUUCUUAACAAGAGCUUGAUUUGUGCUGCUGUCGGGUACGAAUACAGCAGAAACUCUGUUUAUAGAAAAUCUGGAGCAGUGUGGUUGGGACCUUUUUUGUAAUGGAUUGUGUAAAAAGCCACAAACAUUUAAAAAUCAUGUUUAGAGAUCUUUUAUUAAAGAAAUGAAGCCAGUGGAAAAUCAUUGUAAUCAGAUUUUCUAAUGAUAAUCAUCACAUUAAUAAACCAUGUCUCAUCUCAGCAACCUGCCCCAGCUUUAAACAUUUGUGUCUACGUCAUGCUCUUAUGUGCUGCUCUGGUGAGCGGAGGAGCAGAGACGAGGAUGAGGAGUUCGAUAUCACGCUGAGAUAGAAACCUCAGCAGGUGGGAUGAUUAGCUAUUAUUUCCUCCAUCCUAUUUCCAGGCUUUAGCCUUUUGGUAAUCUUUACAGUGUUGCAGUAAUGUAAAUGUAAUUACUUCAGCGUUUACAUUGAAUCGGAGAAGAAACCUCCCUCUUGUGCUUUUCCAGCUUCACUUCUAAUGACCUUCCAGCUAGUUAUCUACACAGGAAGCCCCGCUGCGGAGCUGUGAAUCACAGCUGAAUUGUGGGUAAAUGAAGCUUUCAUUCUGGCUGUGAGCUGUCAUGAUCUGUUUGAGAAAUGUGGGAUUGUGUUCACGCAUGCACACAUACUAACAUACAGUGGUCCAUCUUUUCCUCCGCCACACACACGCUCUCUUACACACACACACACACACACACACACACACACACACACACACACACACACACACACACACACACACACACACACACACACACACACACACACACACACGUGGUAAAGGCACAAACAGAGUCAUCAGUCACCGAGUCGAGGGUGGCAGCUUAAAGGAAGCCGUGUCCUUUCUGUAUCUUACAGUCCAUUUGUUACUUUCUCUUCGAUCCAUUAGUUUAUCUGUCACUCUUCAUCCCUCCUCUGUCGCACAUCCACCGCCGUUGCUCUUCCUGAGUGCCGCCUGACCUUCCUCGGGUCGUCUUCCUGUCUUUGGCGGGCCGGUAGGGGAGAGGGGGGCCGGCUGUUAGCAGGCCGGCCAGAUGGCCGGGUCUAGUCUGGGACCGGAGCAGAACCUACCAGCCAAACCGGUAGCAGACAGAAGCACUGCGGGGAGCAGUUUCACCGACGUCUCUGCUCCUCCCGUGGUCAAAAACGCUAAUUAGCCAUCGCUAAACAAAUGAACGGACCGUCCAGGACGGUGUAUUGAGCAGACACAGCCUUUCCUGAUGUGUUAUUGCUCAGGAAUCUUAGCUGACAGGAGGCUGAGCUGGAAAAGGGGUGAAGAUGAUUCGAGUAGAAAAGUCAAACCGAUGACAAGGAGGUUUGACAGCAGGGGAGGAAGCUAGCGGGGCUGAGAGGCGGCAUGUGUGAGGAGUUUGAUAGGAAAUGACUGCUCCUAUUCUUGGAGUGGAUUCAAACCCCCUACUUCUUCCCACUUCUGCUACAUCAGCUGCUGAUAUUCAGCCUAAUACAUGGCAAUAGCCUUAGCUGGACAUCUCUUCAGGUAUCUGCUGCACCUGGUCUGAGGACGUCCCGCUAGCCAACCGUUCAUGUUGCAUCUGAUAUUAUAAACUUUACUUAGUGAUGGCGUUGUUUCAGAGGCUUUCAGGAGCACAUCUGUUUGUCACAGCCUCUCCGAGAGCACCUCCUGCAUGUAAAUGAACUCAUCUUGCUGACAAAUGAAAGCAGGAGCUGUUAUCUGAGUGGUCAUUUGAGAGAGGACAACUAAUCCUGGCGUGGCACCAACAGCAGUGCUCUCCUGUAACCGAGCUCUCCGAGCUUCCGCCCAUACGUCAGGUACUGAGAUGAAAGAGGGGCCUGUCUGUGCUACAUGGCUAAUUUAAAGGAUUAUCACCUGUUCUACUAAAGCACAUUAAUCCUAAUCCUGCUUUAACCCCUUUGAUUUGAAGUCAGAGUGAUUUAAGGAGUGGACUGACCUAAUCUCUUCACAACAUCUACCACAAACUCCAGCUGCUCAAAGGCACUGCGGCUUACUCAACACAACGACGUUGCGGUUCUUUAACGAUUCCGUUUGGUGCUGUGCAUGUGGAUCGAGUUAUUACUGAAUCCUUUUGUGCAUCGCGCCUUCUCUCCUCGAGAGUCUUAAUUCUCAGCUGAUGUGCUCUCACAGGACCAGAUUAUACGGGGAGGAAGAGCUGUCAUCGGCAUAAUAAGCUUUAAGUAUUAAGGUAUUCUGAUUUGAUGAAGUAAACCCCGACAGUAUCUACUGUACUUGGCACAGCCGUACUUCUGCAUUCUCAAUCCCACACAGACUGGAGGAGAAGUGACAGAGGACCCUAUAUGUAAACAUUUGCAGCUAUUUGCUAAUAAUUGUUCUUUUCAAGAGAUAAUCUGUCGUAAAUUGCCACUUUAAUGCUUUAAUGUGCUUAUUAUGAUCACCAGAUUGCAGCGUGUGCGUGGGUGGGUGACACAUGGAUGCAUUUGAUAUGAGAGAGAAAGCAAACAGAGACUGUGGGAGAAUUUAGACAGACUGGGUGUGGCGAUGACGGUGGGAAGCAAAGGUAAUUGAAAAAGAGAGGAAUACGUUUGGUUUUGGGGUUUUUCUAAAUGAGGGAGUAGAGAUGGGUGAAUCCAACCACAGCAUGCUUUUGUGUGUGUGUGUGCGUGUGUGUGUUUGUAUUCGUGGAAACAGAUAGACACAAACACAUGUGGAUGCAUUGUCCCGUUUCCAUCUCCGUGUUUAAUGUACAGAGAGCAGAGGACCACACAGGAUGUCUGCCUCAUGCGUCGGAGUAUGUGGUAACGAUAUUAUUAUUGAUCCUGCCGCAGACGUCAAACCCAAGCGCCGAUGUUACUGCCUCUCUGAUUGAAACAAUAUGCUGCAGCCUGUUUCAUCCGUGUCCAAAACCACUGAAUUAUUAAACACAACUCUGAAGCAAAGGGUUGCUCAACGUCGUAACACAAAUCUACUGUUAGGAGCCUCAGGGGGAUAAACAAGCCUUUAUUCAUUAGUGUGAUUGGACGUAGAAAAAGAAAGAGGAGAGAAAUUAGGGGAUAGGACUUAAGAGAAUAAAGAGAUUGUAAUCAUUUGGCUUAAUUGCACAUGACGAUGUGACGAAUUGCUGAUAAAACUGCAAAAAAAGAGCUUUAAGAAAUGUUUUUCAUAAUCACGGUCUUUCAUAUACAAUACAGAGAAGGGUGUUGAUGUCUCUGUGAGGCUAAAAUGGGCUUUUUGGGUACAUCAGGAUUUAAUGAAAACAUUUACUCUCCAGAGGCCUCUGUGAAAUUGCUUAUGAAUGGAUGCAAGGAUGUUCUGCAGACAAGAUGUAAGCUAUUCAAUGACUUCAAGUCGCAAAUCACGAAAUCGCACCAUUUCACACUUGAUGUAUCCUGGCAGGGCUGCUUUGUGAUUAGCUUUCAACUCCCAGUUUUUUCAGACUCCUGUUAUUGUUUAUCAAUAAUGUAUAGUUUAUGUUGUUUAUUGUUCAUGCAUGUAUGAUGGGGUUCAUUGAAAACACUAGCUGGUAAGUACUGGUGAAGAUGAGUGGUCAUUGCGUUUAGAACCUGAAGUCAGUGUUACAAAUGGCAUCAUGUGAUCUGCAAAAAAGCACUAAUCUUGAAUCACAGAGUGACUUUCUCAUUAACACAGAUGGUGCAUUGGACUAAAUUAUUUAAAUAAACACAGAGGCUGUUUCUCACAAUGCACACUUGUCUGAACCGGUGUACUCAUGUACUAGUGAAACAACGUUGGCUCAAGUAGUGUUCCAGUUCUAAGUACAUAUCCUGACAAGUUCCUAGAUGUGUUAUUGCUCCACCCAUUGUGUUGAGGAUGCAGCAACGCAUCCUUCUGCAGACGUGGGCUCCCAAGGUUCCAUAAUGCAAUGUGUUACUGUUAAACCCUGAAUCUAAUAUUGCGGAGAAGAAAGCUCCUAUCUUUAGUGUUUUUUUAUUAUCAAAAAUACAAAUAAACAAAUAUAAAAGAAAUAAAUAAAUAUAAAGUCUGUUAUUGUAGGUAAGCGUGUGCAGCCUGUAAAAUAUGCUAGUUUUUAAAAUAUUUUUUCAAAAUGCUAAUUAGCUAACCCACUAUCAAAAUAAAACCAGGGUUGCCAUAAAUAACUCCUUAAUAAACAGCAGGAAUGCUGGUCUUUUAUCAAUUUGAAAUAAAGUGGACCAAAUAUUACAGAAAUAAAAUGUAUUUGGGGUAUUUUUUUGUUAUUUAAAGGACAAACUAGACUUUUAUUUGUAUUUCAGGUCAUUAUUGUAACUGUAGCAUAAAGCAACGCUUGUUGCAUGAUGUAACGGAGUACGGUUCUUUUCCAAAUGCCGUCCUUGUCCUCCUGUACUUGAUAGAAUAACAUUCUGCUGUACUUUCCAAGAACAUGCUUGCCAAGUACGCGAGAAUGUACUAGUGUACCAUGGCAUUGAGAAACGGCCAGAGACCCUGCCUCACAAACGUGCAGAUCCAAUUUAGCAGAGACCCUUUAUAAGAAAUUCAGAAGUUCCUGUUUUUAAUGUGUCAAUCUUACCAUAAAGCCCAGUGUGUGAUAUUUACCUGCUUACUAUAAGUGCUGGGUUUCCAGUUCACAAACUUGUCCAUUUUAAUUAAUAUUUCUCACCAGCAUCAAUUCUAAAUAUUCCUCUCAGCUUGAAAUUUUACAUUUUUAACUACACUACCUGUGGUCGACGCUCCAUAGUCAUCCACCAUCUUGUAAUACAGUAGCUGUUGAGGGACAUACGAGCUCCGCUUUGUGCGUUUGGACCAUCGACAUAAAUAUACGGUUUGGACUGACCGUAACCUGAAAGAACCAGCAGAGGGCAGCAGUGUGCCCUGGAAGCAUGGAGUUUGCUAAUUCAUCUAAGAAGUAGAAGAGACAAGCUGCUUCGUUGCCUUACUUGUUAGUUUGAAUAAUAAACAAUGAAAUCGAAAGACACAUCAAAUUUGUCAGGCCAUCAUCGUGUCUAACACUAGGAAGCCGCACAUACGUUAGCUUAGCUGGUGGCUAAGUCAGCAUUGUUUACGUGAUCUCCACGCUUGCUAACCCUCCUUUGCCAGCCAUAGCGCUGUGAGUGAUCGCUACAUAGAAGAUCGUUUUCUUUCUUUUUCCAGAUCCUUUAGCUGGUAGCAAGCUUGUUUACAAAGCUGCUCUCAUCCACGUGAAACAGGUGUUGUGGGAUGUUCCCCUGAAAUAUUCUGUUUCCCUUAGGCAAUCCAGAGCAAAUAUUUCCAAAUGCACACAGCUUAUUGUCUAUUAAACAACCUUGAAUUAAAGAUGGUUAAACUGAGUGAGAUUACAUCCUUUUACAUAAUUUUCAAAAAUUAUAAAUAAGCCUGAAAAGAGGAAUGUUUUUACUGUACCUCUUUUGUUGUUUUUAGGAGGACAUAUAGAUAUAAAAACAUCACAAGCAUGACAUUAUUUCAUUACAUUACAUUAUUUUCCAAACAUAGCCUUAAGAGCCUCCUCCCGACACGAGGGGGGAAGAGACAGAAUAUUUUAGGGGAACACAAUUUUUCACAACACCUGACCUCCCGGCUGACGUCACCCCUCCUCCGUGUGUGGAUCAUGACAGCUUCAAGGUCUCACAGAACUAGCUUGCUUCCUUCAGGACUGGUAGGUUGAUAAAACAAGCAUAAUUAUAAUUGCUUUUUUAACUGGUAGAGUAGUUAAAUGCUUUGUGUGGAUUAGGCUAGAAAGAUUGGAAACUGAUGAUACGAUCAAGCUCAUGAGGGAGCCACCGUAGCUGCGAUGCUUUCUCUGAACUGCGUGGCGCUAAAGAGUCACAUUUUUUCAUCAAGAUUUCAAUGAAUUUCGCACAUGGGGCCUUUAAAGGAAUAUUUAAGCAAUUUUAAAGUGAGUUUUUUUGUUUUAAACUAUUUUACCUUUUGUAGAUUGCUUCCUGAAAAGUCUCUGUUUGGAGGAACAUUAUUUACAUCUUAGGACUGAUUAGCUGAGAGCUAGUCAGAGCAACACCAAAAUAAAAGUCUAGAACUUAAAACUACUCCAUUCUUGUAACCUUCUCAGUGGCCUGGUGGUCAAUUGUCCGCCCUGGGACUGGGAGAUCGGGUUCAAAUCCCAGUCAGGUCAAACCAAAGACCUUAAAAAUAGGAACCAGUGCCUCCUGCGCGACACUCAGCUUUAAGGGUUUGGAUUGGGGGGUUAAACCACCAAAUAGCCACAGCUGCAGCUCACUAUUCCCCACGGGGAUGGGUCAAAUGGAGAGAUGAAUUUCACCAGUGUGUGAUGACUAAUGGGACUGUAACUUUAUUGGUACACAGUAUUAUCUAAACCUUCACAUUAGGCUCAUUUCAACUAUCGGCUAGGUAGAGUGGCUGGGCGGGACUUAUGGUUAUCUAAUGCUGAUUGGUUGUAACUUUCUAGGAAAUGACAUCAGCAGGCACCGUCAAACAACCGGCAUUUGUAAAGUUGGAAGAGUUGUUGAAUUUGAAUGGAAGGAGAAGGAUGACAGUAGCUUUCAUGCUGCUUUAAAAUCGUUGCUUCUAAACUCCCAACACUGGAAAAUGUGUUGGAAAUCCCACCACAACAUCGUAAUCUUCACCGCUUUGUGGUCUCCUACAGAGCGCUUUAAAAAUGGCAUUUUAUACCACACCCCAUAACAGAUACAGCAUGUUACAGCGUACUUUAACAGAAUAAAACUUUUAAUGCUGUUCAUGUCCGUGGAAGCCUUUUGGUGCUGAUCUGUGACAUCACUGCCAAAACUUCCACGCCAACUGUCAGGAUUUAAAUGUUUAUGACAUACAGUUGAAUGAAUACGAUUCGGAACACUGGAGCAUUUUUUUGGACUUAGUUCUUCAAACUUGGAACCUGCUGGUUACAGUAGUAAUAAUAACCAUGACUACCACUAAUGUUUUCAUCUGGGAUAUGAUCUAUGACCUUCAGCAUGUAGCUUUGUAAUAUGAUUCUAUUUAGAUUAUUCAGCUUCUGAGACAAGCUGGGGUCAUGGGCGGUAUCUUCAUUCAGCAGCUGCUACUUAGAGACUUAGAUUUGAGCCUCCAAUUUCUGGGAAUGAUUCCCUGGGUUCUAUCUGAGAACUUGCAGCCACUUUGAGUGCUGCAGCACACGAUUUCCCUCUCAAGGAGAAGCAACUUAGCAGCAUCCAGAAGUGUGUAAAUAUAGCAGUGUUGUUUUGAUUCUUCCAAGCGCUCCUUGUCACUGAUACCUGCACAGUAGGCAGCUGGGAGGGUGAACUGUAGACAUCUUUUGUUGUCAUGGAUACAGUAAUGAUCACUGGUUUAAAACAGCCACAACAGUCACAGCACCACCUAAUGUCUUGAUGACCCAUCCAGCCAUGCUGAACAACUCCCUUUUGCUGUGUAACAACAUCACACAACUUCCUCUUUAGUUCCCAGCAGAUGAAACUCAUAAAACCGCCGUUAGCUGAAGGCUCUUGUAGCAUCAGUGUUUGAAAUACUGUUUUUCAACUUGACAUCAACAAAUUGCUACUUUUGUUUUUUUUAAACAAAUCUUGCUUUUACCUAUAAUAUACCUCUUUGCAGCUGAUUUGCAAAAAAAGAGUCCCUUUAAAAUACCCACAGACGAAAACUGAAGCAAGCUUUGUGUAUCGUGGGUUAGGGUCAUCGUUUGGCCUCACUCCACCUGUUCGUACCCAUGUAACGCAAUGAACUCAUCCUGCUGAGGGUGCACUCUGCUGACCAACAGAGACUGAUCUGAGAAUGUUUUGAAAUACAAAACACACCAUCACACAUGAGAGAACAGCUUUUGUCAUUUUGAAGUGUUGAACUACGCAGUGCCUCCCCCCUCCUGCUGCUCUGCCAGGACUCUUCUCUCAUGAUGCAUUAUUCGACUCCCUGUAGACAAAACACAGCAAACAAACAGUAUUUUGAAUGGUUUUUUGGGGCCCGCUGCAUCAUGCGUUGCUUGGGGCACAUUGGGUGGUCAGUGCAUGUGACCUUUUCAUAGUGGGGCCAGAUAACCCCCAUCCAUCCCUAUUAGAAGGCAGUGUUCAGGGACAGCAGCCAGAGUGACACAGUCCCAGCUGGGUGUCCCUGGGGAAAAGACUGUGGAGUGCAGGGAGUGAUCCCCAUGGUGCACAGAGGUGUGUGUGUGUGUGUUGUUCUGUGCAGAUAGGACUCUGUGACUCUGAGAUAUGCACAGGCUCAUUAAUUAGAGGCUCUCAUUAUCCCCCCUCAGGCUCCAGACACUUAAUCAACACCAAGCUCUGACUAAGACACAACUAUACGUGCACACACACACACACACACACACACACACACACACACACACACACACACACACACACACACACACACACACACACACACACACACACACACACACACACUCAUGCUCACCCAUCUCACAUAUUCCACAGCAGGCUAGAUUCUGACACAACAUCAUCUACCAAACAGCUCCGUUAGAGGAGGUGAAUGAAUGAAUGCUGAUGAGGACUAUUUGUUUUCAGUGAUGUACAGCACAACAGAGUGGAGGGUGUCAUUGCUGUUUAACACUUUCAUUGUUAUGGUGUUGUUAAGCCCUUCAGAACAGAUUUAUCCAGCCGCCAUGUCCUUCUAUGCAGGCUAUCUAUCAAAUACUGUAGAAAAAAGCUAAAUUUCCCACCUAAUAAAUGUUGAUGCUAGGAAUAAAGUUAAUUAGGAUCCACCACCUUACACAUCAGGCAACACUGUGAUUAAUGUAGGCAUAUUUGUUAAAAAUAAUUUGCAUGCAUGAGACUUUAUAGAUUGCUGGCAAAAUGUUCAUGUGUGUUUUAUAACAGAUCUGUUUACCCUGUGAAUGUAUCUGUCUGCUUGACACACGAGGUACACGUCGAGGUGUUUUUACUGUGGAAUUUACUGCCUUAAAACUCCUGUCCUUGUAAUUAAAAGACCGCUGUUUAUCCAAAUGGGACAGAUAGUGUACAAAGACUCUCCGUCUUGGCUUAGAAACUGAGAAUCCACAUGGUAAUUAAUUACCCCUCUGACAUUCAGAAGGAUUUACGGAUAGGUACUCGUCAUCGUCGUCGUCUUCCUCCGCUUAUCCGGGUCCAGGUCGCGGGGGCAGCAUCCCAACUAGGGAGCUCCAGACCGUCCUUUAAAGUGUAUUUUAGUGUAUAAGUUUUAACCCUCUGGAGGCAGGCGUUGCAGAUUUGCAACAGUUAAAACCUACCGGGUUGUGCCACAUACGUAUUUCAUGAGCAUUUUUAACUCUGAAGUACCCCUGAAGGACUUAGUUGCUCAUCCUUUUAUCAAAACUUAUUUUGAGCCUGAGAGGGUUAAAUCAUUUUCAUCCUAACUUUUGGGUUGAAGGAUUGCUGGAGGGGCUGUAUCAUGCUAUUUAUAAACCAUGGGCUCUAUUGACCCAUUCCUUCCGCUUAGAAAUAAGAUGCUUGUAUUCUAUCAGACUCCUCCUCCCCCGUGUGAAUUCCACAAUAGUACACAGCUGCAUACGUGGUGACCGUAGAUUCCCACUGUCGUGUGUCGCUCAAGUCAGAGGGUUGCACACACACACACACACACACACACACACACACACACACACACGCACACACACACACACACACACACACACACACACACACACACACACACACACACACACACACACACACACACAC